AAAAAAAAAUGUAUGAGAAUGGAAACAAAAAUAUGCAUACCGGUGCAUUAUAACAGAAUAAGUUAUAAUUACUGCAGAAAUACGCAUACCGGUACAUUAUAACAGAAUAAGUUAUAAUUACUGCAGAACCUCUAGUUAGUGGAAUAAAACACUAUAUUCAUGUUGAUGAUGGUGUUCUUGGAAACUGCUAUAGAGUUCAUACAUGUUUGCUCGUACAGAAAUUGUGGGGCUCAUGUAUUGAAUUGAUGAAGGUGCAACUUUUUAUAUAGAAAGUUGUACACUUUUUUUCAUUGAAUAUGAAGUAUUUCAAGAGAAGAAGUGAAAUUUUACCGAAACGUUUGAGUCACAAAAGUUGUGUGGUGGUACAACAAGUACAAACACAUGAAGCUGAAUGACAUUUUGUUUCAAACUGCAUUGUGGACACACGGGGGUCACUUAUACAGUAGAUAUAUGAAUGGUAACUGUGUCUUGUGUACUAGAUAUAUGAGUGAUACCUGUGUCGUGUGUACUAGAUAUAUGAAUGAUACUUGUGUCGUGUGCAGUAGAUAUAUGAAUGAUACUUGUGUCGUGUGUAGUAGAUAUAUGAAUGAUACUUGUGUCGUGUGUAGUAGAUAUAUGAAUGGUACUUGUGUCGUGUGCAGUAGGUAUGAUAUAUGAGUGAUACUUGUGUCUUGUGCAGUAGAUAUGAUAUAUGAGUGAUACUUGUGUCUUGUGCAGUAAAUAUGAUAUAUGAGUGAUACUUGUGUCUUGUGCAGUAGAUAUGAUAUAUGGGUGAUACUUGUUGUAUUUUGUGCAGUAGAUAUGAUAUAUGAGUGAUACUUGUGUCUUGUGCAGUAGAUAUGAUAUAUGGGUGAUACUUGUUGUAUUUUGUGCAGUAGAUAUGAUAUAUGAGUGGUACUUGUGUCGUGUGCAGUAGAUAUGAUAUACGAGUGAUACUUGUAUUGUGUGCAGUAGAUAUGAUAUAUGAGUGAUACUUGUGUCUUGUGCAGUAGGUAUGAUAUAUGGGUGAUACUUGUUGUAUUUUGUGCAGUAGAUAUGAUAUAUGAAUGGUACUUGUGUCUUGUGCAGUAGAUAUGAUAUAUGAGUGAUACUUGUGUCUUGUGCAGUAGAUAUGAUAUAUGAGUGAUACUUGUGUCUUGUGCAGUAGAUAUGAUAUAUGGGUGAUACUUGUUGUAUUUUGUACAGUAGAUAUGAUAUAUGAGUGAUACUUGUGUCUUGUGCAGUAGAUAUGAUAUAUGAGUGAUACUUGUGUCUUGUGCAGUAGAUAUGAUAUAUGGGUGGUACUUGUAUCGUGUGCAGUAGAUAUGAUAUACGAGUGAUACUUGUGCAGUAGAUAUGAUAUAUGAGUGCAUGUUACGUGCUGUAUCUUGUGAAGUACAACUGUAGAUUACGAUGCUCUUACACUAUUUCUGACAGAAUUCUGUAAGGUUUUAGAAUUUUAACUUCAAGUCAAUGUAAUAGAUCUAUAAUGUAUUGGGAAAAAUGCAUGAAAUGAAAAUUUAAACAUUCAAAUUUUGUGGAUAUUUUAUGAGAAUGCAAGUGUAGGUUUUUGUAUAUCAGUAAUUUUAUUGUGGAUGAGGCUGUUAGUAUAUCAGUAAUUUUAUUGUGGAUGAGGCGGGUUUUUUUUUAUGCAUGUCUAUGACUGGGUGAAAGUCAUGCUUAAAGGCAUAGUACAUUAUUUGUCGUAGAAAUAGUGUAGAUUAGUACAUUAUUUGUCGUAGAACAAGUGUAGAUUUGUUGACUUAGCGCAUUAAGAUAAGCUUCGUAAUUCACUAUGGUUACAGUUGUAACUAACCUGAUAUGUGUUGUAUACAAAAUACAGUUAAACUUCAUUAUCUCGAACACUGAUAUCUUGAAUACCAUGGGUAUGUCAAAGUGAUUCGGAAGUCUCAACCAAUUAUUCUUUAAGUAUUUUACCCUCGAUAUCUCAAAUCCUGGGAUAAGUUUUUUCUCAGUCCCAUUGAGUUCUUGAUAACGAGGUUUGACUGUAUGUUUAAAAUUUUAUGGUAUAUUCAUAUUGUAUAGAGUAUCAUAUAUUUUUCAAAUUGUUGUAUUUUUAAAAAAAAAUCAUUUUUCACAUUUUGAAAUACUCUGGGGGAAAUUUAUACGCAUGUUAAAAGUUGUUGUGUUAUAUUGAAAAAGCUGCUGUUUCCUUUAUCUAAAUUUCAUUAUUGAUGUUAUGAUCAUAACUUUGAUAACAUCAUUUACUGUUACUAUACAGUCUGAUUGAUUGUUUCAUGACAUCAAAUAGGGCAACUAAAUACGGUAUUGAUUAAAUCUUCAUUUACAUGUAAUAAUCACAGACUUCUCAAUAUUUUCUCCAAACUGCAGGCAGUUAAAAAUAUCCUUUUUGUAUUCAAAGUACAUUUUAAAGUAAUCUUUGAAGUUUCCAUAUUAUUACUUAUAAUUACAUGCAUGAGUGUAGUGUCAUGUAAGUUUAUUCAUGUAUAAUUUAAUGGGUUUUUUUAAUUUUCUAUUUUUGUACUGUUUAUUGUCUGAAAAUUAUCAUCAUUGAUAAAUUCAUUAGAUUUCAUGCAGAGAAUUCGGUCAUAUCAAUAUGUAUUCAUACCAUCAUGAUAGUUUUCUAUAUACCGAAUCAUCUGAUACACUUUCAGUAUGUGAUAUGGAUAGGUACAUCUGUUAAGAUGCUCACCAGAAUUCUUAGCAGCCAUGACAAUUCAGACUAAUGAUAGGCACCAUUAACUAUAAAGAUUCUGCUGGGUGAUUCAGUGUUAGAAUGCAGCACACUUUCAGAUCUCUCUUGUAUUAUUCGUGGUCACUGUAUGUACAUGUGUGGUACGGUCAGAUAGUGCCAGUGACCAGAGAGAAUUCAGCGGGUAGAUAGACUAGAAUUCGGGAACUCCAGUUGAAUCCCUGUCUGAUUUGUCACAUUUUCUCCCUCUCAUUUUACAUUUUAAUAUUAAUGGGUAACUCGUACUGUGUCUCAUUUUAAUGUUGUAAAUAUCCAAUCUUUAUAGGUCAAUAUUGAGAUUCAUGCAUUUCAUGGUCAGAUUGUCAAAUAUUAAUUGCUUCCUCUUGGAUUUGGGUCUAACCUAUUUGCAAUAUUGGAAAAUAUUAAGUGCCAUAUUAUGUGAGUGAUGUAGUACUGUAUAUCGGAUAAUUUUGCUGCACUGGAAAUAUUGGAAAAUUUACCAGAACUAAAAGCACUGAAAGUUCUUUUUAUAUAGAUACACUUGUUAAAUGAAAUUGUGCCAAAAAUAGGCUUAAUUUUUUUUUAAUGAAAUGUGCUAGAUAUUCCUUAUGCCAAUAUUACCCGAUAUACAGUAACAUUGAACUCACUUUAAAGUUAUGAAUGUUAGUAACCCCUCAUUCUAUGAUAAGUUUUGUUUGAUUGGAGUAAAAUACAUUGUUAAUGAAAGUAUAAACCCAUUGUAAAAUGGCUAAACCAAGAUCAUAUAUAGAUGUUUGAAUGGUGUGGAAUUAAAUGCUUCAACAACAUUGAAAAUGUUAAUGGAAUGUAUUAAUUUGCAAUUGAACCAUUUUUUUUUUCUGUAGGAUAAUUCAAGUGUGUAUGUCCAGUGAAAAAUUAUUGAAAGAAUUAAUAAAAUGUUGAUCAAUUGUGAA